AACCUAACCUGAGUAGCUACGGCAAAAGGCAUGGUUGAAAAUCCAGCGAAGAAUAUCGAUCCCGUCGGUAGGUUAUCUUCGUUGGUCAUGGUUGGAAACUUCCAUGGGACUUCGGUCC
rnacentral:sRNA from 1 species